GGAUUACCUCAGUAACGGCGAGUGAAGCGGUAAGAGCUCAAAUUUGAAAUCUGGCCUCGGCCCGAGUUGUAAUUUGCAGAAGGUGCUUCGGGCGUGGUUCGGUCAAAGUUCCUUGGGACAGGACGUCGCAGAGGGUGAGAACCCCGUACGACCCCCCCCACGCCCGUGUGAAGCCCUCUCGACGAGUCGAGUUGUUUGGGAAUGCAGCUCAAAAUGGGUGGUAUAUUUCAUCUAAAGCUAAAUAUGGGCCAGAGACCGAUAGCGCACAAGUAGAGUGAUCGAAAGAUGAAAAGCACUUUGGAAAGAGGGUUAAACAGUACGUGAAAUUGUUGAAAGGGAAGCGCUCGCGAUCAGAUUGGACGGGGUGCUCAGCAGGGCUUCGGGCCUGUGCACUCACCGCGUCCAGGCCAGCAUCGAUUUGGGGGGUGGGAUAAAGGCCGGGAGAAUGUGACCCUCGGGUGUUAUAGCUCCCGGUGCCAUGCCGCCCCCGGGAUCGAGGACCGCGCUUCGGCUAGGAUGCUGGCGUAAUGAUCGUGAGCGACCCGUCUUGAAACACGGACCAAGGAGUGGACCUAGCGCGCGAGUGUUUGGGUGUCAAACCCCGGCGCGGAAUGAAAGUGAGCAGGUGAGAGCUUCGCGCAUCACCGACCGAUCCUCUCGCGUGGAUUUGAGUAGGAGCGCGCUGGGUCCGACCCGAAAGAUGGUGAUCUAUACGUGAAUAGGGUGAAGCCAGAGGAAACUCUGGUGGAGGCUCGCAGCGGUUCUGACGUGCAAAUCGAUCGUCAAAUUUGCGUAUAGGGGGCGAAAGACUAAUCGAACCAUCUAGUAGCUG
rnacentral:rRNA from 1 species